GACGGUUUGGACCUCCUCCCACCGAGUGUAUCAGCACCGGAGACCAGAAACAGCUACAGUGUUUCAGGUCCACUCUAGUGUCACAAUUAACUGUUGGCGUAUCAGCAGAGCUUCCAGGACAAGUUUUUGGUUUUGCUGCAUUCCAUCGAUGCAAGGUCAGCUGAAAUGUGCUAUACUUUAAGAUUGAAAAUAAAUGUAUCUUGGAAACUCCCGACUUGCAAAACUGGCUCUCUGAAAAAUAAUUGCAGCUGAAUUCAGUGGAGAACCUAUUUUUGGAGAAUUCCUGAGCCCAUACUAGUGCCAUGAGUCUUCAAUCUGGAUCCAGGCCGAGGAUAAGAUUUAAUUGGACCAGCACCAUUCCUAGCUUCA